UACGUAGGUCCCGAGCGUUGUCCGGAUUUAUUGGGCGUAAAGCGAGCGCAGGUGGUUUAUUAAGUCUGGUGUAAAAGGCAGUGGCUCAACCAUUGUAUGCAUUGGAAACUGGUAGACUUGAGUGCAGGAGAGGAGAGUGGAAUUCCAUGUGUAGCGGUGAAAUGCGUAGAUAUAUGGAGGAACACCGGUGGCGAAAGCGGCUUGCUGGACAGUAACUGACGUUGAGGCUCGAAAGCGUGGGGAGCAAACAGG
rnacentral:rRNA from 1 species